AUGACCCAGUCUCCAUCCUCCCUGUUCAAAUCUCAAGGGGACAGAGUCACCAUCACUUGCAAAGCCAGUCAGAACAUUUAUAGUGCUUUGGCUUGGUAUCAGCAGAAACCAGGGAAAGCUCCCAGGCUCUUGAUCUAUGAUGCAAGCGAUUUGCAGUCUGGGGUCCCAUCCAGGUUCAGCGGCAGUGGGUCUGGGACAGAUUAUACCCUCACUAUCAGCAGCCUGGAACCUGAUGAUGUUGCAACUUAUUACUGUCAGCAGACUCUCAUUGUCAUCAUUGGCCAUAGGUCUGACACGGAUGUCACCCUCACCAUCAGCAGCCUGGACGCUGAAGAUGCCUGUGUCUAUUACUAG